rnacentral:lncRNA from 1 species
GUCCAGAAAUCAGAAGUCCAUAAAUCUUAUUUAAAAUAAUUCAAACCAUCUUAUGUGGAAAGCUAAUCCAAGCUCCUGCAUGCCGACUAGUCCUAAGUUUGAAGAUCACCUGAAACGUAUUAAACAAACAAGUGAGUUAAAAGUCGAGUGUGUGACUUAACCCAAAAACAAAAUUUUUACUUAUAACAUGCACAAAUGUAAAUGUCAUCACAGAAUUUUACUUAAAUUGUCUACAUAUACAAAUAUCAUAUCAGAAUGUCAUAUUACUAGAAACAUAUAUCAUAUCAGAAUGUCAUAUUUCUAGAAACAUAUAUCAUAUCAAAAUGUCAUAACAAAUCAAAAUAAAUCCUACCCCUAUCCACUACACACCAACUCCGUCUGACCAAUCACACCAAAUAGGACUACAGGGGUCCAUUCAUCCAAUAACACAGGGUCAUGGUGGUACGUCACUCAUAAUGGUGCAAUUGAGCUGCCAGAUAGAUAUUGCAGUUUAACCGCCAAAAUUGCAAUAAUACUCCCAAAAAACACUUCCUCCAUCAUGUCAAAACCCACCCCAAUGCAGAUGCAUAAUCAUUAUAGCAUACAUACAUAUCACAUGAACGGUAUGUCUUGCAUACCUAAACAUAUUUUUACAUAUCAUAACAUAUCAUAUUACUUACGCAGAAUUAAUCUUACUUAACAUGCUUAUACUAACAGUUAUUCCACAUACAGAUGCCAGACAUGUUUUUACACGUAAUUAUACUUUUCAGAACACAGACCAUACAUAAGUUUUUCACAUACCUUAACCAUAUCACAUACUAACACAUAUUAACAGAUGUCACAUUUUGAGUCUUAUUUAAGUCAAAUGGACCCCCACGAAAGUUUUUAUUACAAAUUUUUGAGUCAAACGGGCCUAAGUGAAAAUUUCCAAAUAAUAAACCCACACAGCCUGCCUACCUAAAUUGCCCGUGUGCCCCACAUGGCCUACCCAAAUUGCCAGUGCAAUUGCGUCCGUGUGGAGCACAUGGCCUGCAACACAGCCAUGUGACACAGAGCAGUUUCGAAAAAAUUUUUCGAGUUCUAAUCGACAUUUCGGGUUAAAAUCACAUACCUAGUUGUUUUUCGAUACCGAAUCAACAGUCGCAAUACCAGAACCUAAAACGACACCCAACUACAGAUUAUCUAUAAAAUAAAAAUCAACCUCCAUAAUCGAACUAACACCUUAAGUCCUUAUCUUGACAUUCGAACACUUAACAUUAACGCGGAGUGAUUAACGCACUUAAGAAAUCGAAGAAAAGUUCGUGCCGAGAUUUUCACCUAAACAUAACCGAAAUCAGAUAAACUGAAACCUCACCUAAAAUAAUGAUUUCAAGAGAAACAAAGCUACAUUGCAUAAAAUAACAAAUUAUCAACCCAAAAGAUUGUAUAAAACCCCUUCAACAAAAAAAACUCCUAAAACAAAAUCAUUGCCUCCCAGGAUCAAAACUAGACAGAAUGAACAACGACACCAAUCCACGCCAAAACAGAAUGGAAAUGAAGGGAGCAUCAAAGUGAACAACAAUGGUACCUACCAGAAAGAAAUCAUUAACAACGAACAGGAAAAACAAAGGUAUGCUGCUACCAAUGAAGUACACAGCAGAAACUUAC